rnacentral:ncRNA from 1 species
AAAUUAUUUCUGGUUUUAUAUUUAUUAUGAUUUUGAAGUAUAUAUAAAUUAUGUGAAUUUAAAUUUUUAAAUAUUAUAAAUUAUACUUAGGUAAUAUUUAAUUUUAUUAUAAAUAAAGAAAUUUAAUUUAGCUAAAAUUAUUAUUAUUAAUUAAAAUUGUGCCAGCAAUUGCGGUUAAACAUUUGAUAAAAUUAAAUAUUAUUAAGAUAAAUAUAAUUUUAUUAGAUUGGUUUAAGGAUUUUUUUUUGAAGUGAAAUUUUUAAAUAAAUUAAGAUAUAUGACAAGGGAUGAAUAAGUUAAAGUUAAACAUAAACUAGGAUUAGAUACCCUAUUAUUAAAUUAAUACAGUGAUCUUAAUUAGUAAAAUUAGAAUUUAAAAAUUAAAGGAUUUGACGGUAUUUUAAUCAAUUUAGAGGAACUUGUUUGUUAAUUGAUAAUCCACGAUUAAAAUAACUUGAUUUGAUGGCUUGUAUAUCGUCGUUAUAAAAUUAUAUUUUUAGAUAAGUAAAAUAAUUAAAUUUUUUGAUAUAAAAAUAUAUCAGAUCAAGAUACAGUUAUUAUAAUUAAGACUUAAAGAUGAGUUACAAUAAGGUGUAUUUAUAUUUAAUAAAUGAAAUUAAGUAAAUAAAUUGGAUUUAAAUGUAAUUUGAGUGAAUAAGCUUAUUUGAUUAAUUGUUUUAAAAUGUGUACAUAUUGCCCGUCGCUCUUAAUGGUAAAUUUAGAUAAGUCGUAACAUAGUAGAUAUAUUGGAAAAUGUUUCUAGAA